rnacentral:rRNA from 1 species
CAGUAGCCGCGGUAAUACGUAGGGUGCAAGCGUUAAUCGGAAUUACUGGGCGUAAAGCGUGCGUAGGCGGUGAGUUAAGUCUGCUGUGAAAUCCCCGGGCUCAACCUGGGAAUGGCAGUGGAUACUGGCUCGCUAGAGUGUGUCAGAGGAUGGUGGAAUUCCCGGUGUAGCGGUGAAAUGCGUAGAGAUGUGGAGGAACACCGAUGGCGAAGGCAGCCCCCUGGGCCAAUACUGACGCUCAUGCACGAAAGCGUGGGGAGCAAACAGGAUUAGAUACCCGCGUAGUCCCUGUCUCUUAUAC